rnacentral:RNase_P_RNA from 2 species
UAAGCAAGCCGUUCUAUCGCUUCUUCACCCUGGUGGAGGGGAGGAAAGUCCGGGCAACACAGAGCACCACACUUCCGAAAGGAAGAUAUCCGUGAGGGUAUAGUAGCGGAACAGAAAAUAACCGUCUGCCUGAUGGUGGAUAAGGGUGAAAAGGUGAGGUAAGAGCUCACCGGUAUUCCGGGUGACCGGGAUAGCCGUUCGCCUUGUGGGUUGAAAGACCAUGUAUACCGGCGCCUGAGGGUUGCUCGCCCGAUGCCGGGGGGUAGGUCGCUCAGAUAAAUGAUAGAAGUCCUGUUUUACAGGAAAACAGAACCCGGCUUACAGGCUUGCUUUUUUU